GGUUAGGGUUUAGGGUAGGGAUGUCUCAAGGAUCUCGGAUAGCACUAACCCUAGUUAUUAUUGGGUAACAUUUUGCCAUGGAAACACACUAGAGCUCAUUGGCUAUUGAUAUUGUAGUUUGAAAUAUCAGUAGAUUUCUAACUGAUGUACUGAUUGUGACCCUGAGGUCUCCCCUGUGGAGAAAGCAAAGGAGACCAAGCAGAAAGAGAAGAAGCAGAGCAUCUAUCCAGCUGUGGCGGCCCUGCAGCUGUUCACUCUCUUCUGCUGUGGAGGGAAAGUCAAGCUGAAGAAAACUCGUGCCUCUCAGUACAGACAGAGUAAAAAGGACCAGGACGAAGAUACUGCAUCUGAUACUGGCUCAGACUGGUCUGGAGGAGAUGUUACAACCAAAAAGGUCAAGGACAAGAGUAAUGGAAAGGCAAAUCAAAGGACACCCCGGCAGGUGAAGA